ACAUGCAAGUCGAACGGCAGCACAGUAGGAGCUUGCUCCUUGGGUGGCGAGUGCCGGACGGGUAAGGAAUACAUCGGAAUCUACUCUGUCGUGGGGGAUAACGUAGGGAAACUUACGCUAAUACCGCAUACGACCUACGGGUGAAAGCAGGGGAUCUUCGGACCUUGCGCGAUUGAAUGAGCCGAUGUCGGAUUAGCUAGUUGGCGGGGAAAGGCCCACCAAGGCGACGAUCCGUAGCUGGUCUGAGAGGAUGAUCAGCCACACUGGAACUGAGACACGGUCCAGACUCCUACGGGAGGCAGCAGUGGGGAAUAUUGGACAAUGGGCGCAAGCCUGAUCCAGCCAUACCGCGUGGGUGAAGAAGGCCUUCGGGUUGUAAAGCCCUUUUGUUGGGAAAGAAAUCCAGUUGGCUAAUACCCGGUUGGGAUGACGGUACCCAAAGAAUAAGCACCGGCUAACUUCGUCCAGCAGCCGCGGUAAUACGAAGGGUGCAAGCGUUACUCGGAAUUACUGGGCGUAAAGCGUGCGUAGGUGGUCGUUUAAGUCCGUUGUGAAAGCCCUGGGCUCAACCUGGGAACUGCAGUGGAUACUGGGCGACUAGAGUGUGGUAGAGGGUAGCGGAAUUCCUGGUGUAGCAGUGAAAUGCGUAGAGAUCAGGAGGAACAUCCAUGGCGAAGGCAGCUACCUGGACCAACACUGACACUGAGGGCCGA
rnacentral:rRNA from 1 species